rnacentral:tRNA from 1 species
AGCUUCUAAAGGAUAACAGCUCAUCCAUUGGUCUUAGGAACCAAAAACUCUUGGUGCAAAUCCAAGUAGCAGC